GUCUAAGGCCAUACCUCCCUGAACGUGUGCAGUCUCACCGGAUCUCAGAAGCUAAGCAGGAUCGGCCCAGGUUAGUACUUGGAUGGGAGACCGCCUGCAAAUACCAGGUGCUGUAGGGA
ensembl:rRNA 5S_rRNA 5S ribosomal RNA